rnacentral:rRNA from 1 species
UACGUAGGGUGCAAGCGUUAAUCGGAAUACUGGGCGUAAAGCGUGCGCAGGCGGUGAUGUAAGACAGAUGUGAAAUCCCCGGGCUCAACCUGGGAACUGCAUUUGUGACUGCAUCGCUGGAGUGCGGCAGAGGGGGAUGGAAUUCCGCGUGUAGCAGUGAAAUGCGUAGAUAUGCGGAGGAACACCGAUGGCGAAGGCAAUCCCCUGGGCCUGCACUGACGCUCAUGCACGAAAGCGUGGGGAGCAAACGGG